rnacentral:tRNA from 8 species
GCGCCUGUAGCUCAGCUGGAUAGAGUACUCGGCUACGAACCGAGCGGUCAGGAGUUCGAAUCUCUUCAGGCGCGCCA